UACGAAGGGGGCUAGCGUUGCUCGGAAUCACUGGGCGUAAAGCGCACGUAGGCGGACUCUUAAGUCGGUUGUGAAAUCCUGGAGCUCAACUCCAGAACUGCCUUCGAUACUGGGAGUCUCGAGUCCGGGAGAGGUGAGUGGAACUGCGAGUGUAGAGGUGAAAUUCGUAGAUAUUCGCAGGAACACCAGUGGCGAAGGCGGCUCACUGGCCCGGUACUGACGCUGAGGUGCGAAAGCGUGGGGAGCAAACAGG
rnacentral:rRNA from 1 species